rnacentral:rRNA from 1 species
AUUGAACGCUGGCGGCAGGCCUAACACAUGCAAGUCGAGCGGAUGAAGGGAGCUUGCUCCUGGAUUCAGCGGCGGGCGGGUGAGUAAUGCCUAGGAAUCUGCUUGGUAGUGGGGGAUAACGUCCGGAAACGGGCGCUAAUACCGCAUACGUCCUGCGGGUGAAAGUGGGGGAUCUUCGGACCUCACGCUCUCAGAUGAGCCUAGGUCGGAUUAGCUAGUUGGUGGGGUAAAGGCCUACCAAGGCGACGAUCCGUGACUGGUCGGAGAGGAGGAUCAGUCACACGGGAAGUUAGACAGGCUCAUGGCUCCUGAGGGAGGGAGCAGUGGGGAAUAUGGGACAACAGUCGAGAGUCUGAUCCAGCGGUGCGACGUGUGUGAAGAAGGUCUCCGGAUUGUGAAGAACGUUAUGUGGUGGGGAAGGGCAUUAAGUUAAGACCUUGCUGUUUUGACGUUACCAACAGAAGAAGCACCGGCUAACUUCGUG